rnacentral:lncRNA from 1 species
GGAACCUUGACUGAGAAAAUGCCUCCAUAAAAUCGGGCUGUAGAGAACAACUGGGCAUGCCACCCUUGCUGUAUCAAGAUGGAAGAUCCAGAGGGAGGAGCCGCUGCCCCACACACGCCCGAGCAUCAGUCAGAUCUCAAGCCUUGCCUGUGAGCCUCUGUGCCUCUUGCUUCUGAGUCAGACUCUGCUUGCACGUAAUAUGGACUGAUGCUGGUCAUUGUAGUGAAUAAACCUUGAGGUCACAUGGU